rnacentral:rRNA from 1 species
UACGUAGGGUGCGAGCGUUGUCCGGAAUUAUUGGGCGUAAAGAGCUUGUAGGCGGUUUGUCGCGUCUGCCGUGAAAACCCGAGGCUCAACCUCGGGCCUGCAGUGGGUACGGGCAGACUAGAGUGCGGUAGGGGAGAUUGGAAUUCCUGGUGUAGCGGUGGAAUGCGCAGAUAUCAGGAGGAACACCGAUGGCGAAGGCCAGAUCU